AUCUAUGGCCAUGCUACCCUGAAUGUGCCUGAUCCUGUCUGAUCUCGGAAGCUAAGCAGGGUUGGGCCUGGUUAGUACUUGGAUGGGAGACCACCUAGGAAUACCAGGUGCUGUAGGCG
rnacentral:rRNA from 1 species